rnacentral:rRNA from 1 species
GUGGGGAAUAUUGGACAAUGGGCGCAAGCCUGAUCCAGCCAUGCCGCGUGAAUGAUGAAGGCCCUAGGGUUGUAAAGCUCUUUCACCGGUGAAGAUAAUGACGGUAACCGGAGAAGAAGCCCCGGCUAACUUUGUGCCAGCAGCCGCGGUAAUACGAAGGGGGCUAGCGUUGUUCGGAAUUACUGGGCGUAAAGCGCACGUAGGCGGACAUUUAAGUCAGGGGUGAAAUCCCAGAGCUCAACUCUGGAACUGCCUUUGAUACUGGGUGUCUUGAGUAUGGAAGAGGUAAGUGGAAUUCCGAGUGUAGAGGUGAAAUUCGUAGAUAUUCGGAGGAACACCAGUGGCGAAGGCGGCUCACUGGCUCGAUACUGACGCUGAGGUGCGAAAGCGUGGGGAGCAAACAGGAUUAGAAACCCUUGUAGUCC